rnacentral:misc_RNA from 1 species
CUAAAAUAGCCUUGUCAGCAGCGUCCUUUCUACCAUUAGGAACAUCAAUGAGUUUAACACCAGUUCUCUGACAGCCCUCUCUUAGUCUCCUAGGGAAGGAAUUAAAAUCCCCAUAUGCUGAAAACAUCAUAACAGCACCUUUAAUUAUAGGAUGAACACGUAAAGCCAUUCUAAUAUUACCGGCAACAUCUUCAGGUCGGACAUCACUCGGGACAGGGCAGUUCUCAAUGUCCCAGAGGAUAGCCACAGGACCAUCUAAAGAGCUUCGAUUUUGCUGGUUUGGAGGAGGUUGAACUGUAGGCGUGUUUGAUUCUGCUGAAUUUAUUUCCCUCUGUUCAGAUGAAUCAGAGGGCACCACUGAAGCUGAUGUAUUUGCAUUAGCCAUAACUUCUUUACUUAAAAGUUAAAGAAUCCUCAAAUUAAGACCAUCAACCCUCCUCUCUGAGACGAGGAUAUAGCCCAGCAAGAAACCAAGAGUCAAAGAUCCUGGAAAUGGGGAAAGGAAUUUUGGUAAUCGGCUUUUCUUU